rnacentral:lncRNA from 1 species
CGCGGGUGCGCGGUGCGGCGCUGGUAUCCAGAGGACGCGGUCACCGCCUCUGGCAUUUGUCGUUCUGCGCUUCUCCGCAAGGACCCUCUGUUAGGCAGGCGCCCACCGUAAGCCUCCCGGGCCUUGUGAACCUGCAAACCCAAGUCUGAGAGACGAUCCGCCUUCAGCGCUUUCCAGCUUGGCAGAGAGGCUUUCCCGGCGGGGAUCUUUGGUUGGCGCUGGCGAUGCGCGGGGAAGAAAGGCGAGGAGCGGCGUCCAGGCUGGGUGAUGUCCCAGCACGAGUAGGCGGGAUGCGCUCGCUUGGUCCUCCGGGCGCCCGGUCCCUGCCCGCGUCGCGCGCCCACCCCUGGGGACGAGAAGGCGGCCGCCUGAGGACCCCCGCCCGCGACCUCCGCGAGUCUGGAGCGCAGAGGACAGGGUCUGGCUGCUCUUUGGCCUUGGAUGGAAAGUGGGGAAUUGGGUGGGGGGCUGCGGACCCCUUAACGUGGAUUACUUGGUGUGUAUCAGCUGGGCUCAGAAGACCCACGACCUCUUCUCCAUCCGUGGAUUGAUUUGUUCUGCUUAACAGCUGGGUCGCCAAGCUGGAGGUAUUUUUCCCUCUCCACCCUGGUCUUCUCCUGUAACGUGUGGCCGCCUUUUCCAGCACGGCCUCCUGCCUUCCUGGUGCACUUUUUGGAGAACGUGGUGGAAUCAGAGGUUUCUGGCUGACUCGGUGGGUGCUUUGAACCAGGAAAGGACAAGAAAGAGGUGCCACCUCCUGAGUCCUGGUUCC